CAAAGAUGUCUGUUGAAGUUCAUUUUCAUGUAUAAUCAACUUAAUUACAAAACUAUAUAAAACCAUAAAAUCAUAUCAUAAUAAAAUUAUCUAUCUUUAUUUACAGUAACUAUUUAUAUCAUAUUUUAGAAAUUAUUCAAUUAUUUUCGUAUUCGUAUUUAUUUAUAAACAAUAGGUUAUGUUCGUACAUUUUGAGUAUUAUUUCUUCAAUUUUCUACUAACUUGAAUCGAACACCUUAUAUACGUGCUGCUCACGUAUCUGUCUUUAUAUGUGCAUCGUGGAAAUCUACUAUUGGCAAGCAGGCGUAUCGAUAAAAAAUCAUUCUUUCAAAUAUUCCACGAUAUUUGCACAGGCCAAUGUAUCAAAUGCAUUCACCAAAAUUAAAGAAUCACAUGAAAUAGUUUUUAUUAAUGAAAUGUAACAUAUUGCUCGAUUCAGGAAAUUUCUCCGAAAUAUCGAACUUUUGAUAAAAAAAAAAAAAAGGAAACAGCGAUAGCGAAAACCGUUUCAUCGAUCGAUCGUCGUUUAUCAUGCCAGCAUAAACGUGGAGAGACACCAUCUAGGAAGUCAGCGGGUACCAGCAUGACGACAUCAGAUUUGCUUUCCCGUUUCAUUCGAUCGUAAAGCUGCCACGAAGAUUCUCAUGAUUUUUUGCGAAAAAUAUCUUUGUUGCGUACUUUUCGAUCCUGAGAAUACAGUUCUAUUUCCUUCGCCUUCUCUCGCUCCUCGAGAUAUUUCUUCCUCGUUUACGGAUUUAUGGGAAUUGUCUUGUGAUUUAUUCCUCGUGAAGAUUUCUUUUAUUGUCGAAUCUUGAAUCUUUUGACAACAAAAGAUUAUAUGAUCGAUGUAAUUCUCUCAGUGAAAGAUCUCAAUGGAUUUUUCACAAUAUUAUUGGAUUAGGAAAAAUUUAACUUUUAUAAAAUGAA